rfam:Wenxinia marina DSM 24838 genomic scaffold scaffold_WENXMA_7, whole genome shotgun sequence.
AGCUAUGUCCGGACAGGAUAACCGCUGAAGGCAUCUAAGCGGGAAGCCCCCCUCAAAACAAGGUAUCCCUCGAGGACCGUGGAAGACCACCACGUCGAUAGGCCGGAGAUGUAAGCGCAGCAAUGCGCUCAGUUGACCGGUACUAAUCGUCCGAUAGGCUUGACCCG